rnacentral:lncRNA from 12 species
GCACUCUCCUUUGUAGGGCGGGUAGCUCAGAACAGGGGUGCGGCCAGCCGAGCUGACAGAGGGGCAGCGCACAGCCUCUGCACUGCCACCCUCCAAAUAAUCCUGGGUCAGAACACCAAAGGAGGUCUUUAUUUGCGGGUCCCGCAGGGGAGGGCAUGUGCAAAUGUUGGCUGUGUGACCUGGGCGUGUGACCUGGGGCAAGGGUUUCCCCUCCCUGGGACUCCCUUAUUUAUAAAUGGGGACAGUGUGUCUACCUCCCGGGGCUGCUGGGGGGACUCAAGUGUUUGAUGUGUGCUGCACUGGGGCACAAGGUCACCCUAACCCCAGGUGCCCUGUGUGAUAGCGACGGGGGCUGUGCCGGCAGGGGGUGCCCAUGCCAGAUAGGAUGCUUCUAGGCACACUCAGACACACAGCGGGCUCAGAGUCCAGAACCCUUCAGGAGAAGUGGGUUUGAGGGCAGUGUGGCCAUGAGUCUGCGCUGUGGCCAGCAGGUGUUUUGGAGCGUCAGUGUCUCAGGAGCACAGCUGAGCAGGUGGUGCCCCAUCUCUGCACGGCCCGUGGUGAUGGUACAGGCAGUGACCCACUCAGAGCUCGCGGCCAGGAGCAUGCCCCAUGGGGAGCAGCCCUCAGGUGGGUCUCAUGGGGAGCAUCCCGUGGGGAGCGCUCUCAGCCCAGUCCUUUGCAGGCUGGUCCCUGGAGAGAGAGGCCCUGCUGCCAGAGUGGAGCACCUGGCUCCUGAUCUGCACCUGUGUCAGCACCUGGGUCGGGCCUGGAGUCUCCAUCCACGGGGAAGGAGGAGGGCUCGAGGCUGGAUCUUUCACCUGCCUCAACAACAAUGUCCUAAGGAUUGACUGCCACUGGUCUGCCCCAGAGCUGGGUCAGGGCCCCAGUCCCUGGCUCCUCUUUACCAGGUGAGUCUGAAGGGAUAGGCUCCAUGAGGGCCAUGAUGGUGGGAUUCCUGUGAGGGCAGCAGCAGGGCUGGGCUGGUGUGGUGAGCCCUUGAUGCCCACCUACUCCCUUUACAGCAACCACAUGCUGGGCAGCAAGCAUAGAUGUGGUGCCGCCGCCUGAGGAGGUGCUCAUGCCUUCCAACAACUUCACCAUCACUUUCCACCAUUACGUGUCUGGGAAGGAGCAGGUCAGCUUGGUGGACCCACAGUACCUGCCCUGGAGACACAGUGAGGCCUGGGCUGGGGUACCUGGACAGGGAACAUCUGAAGCUUCAAGGGGAUUGGGAGGCAAGAUCCCAUUGCCCU